rnacentral:rRNA from 1 species
CUACGGGAUGCACCAGUAGGGAAUAUUGCACAAUGGGCGAAAGCCUGAUGCAGCAACGCCGCGUGCGCGAUGAAGGCCUUCGGGUUGUAAAGCGCUUUUCUGAGGGAUGAGAAAGGACAGUACCUCAGGAAUAAGGAUCGGCUAACUACGUGCCAGCAGCCGCGGUAAAACGUAGGAUCCGAGCGUUAUCCGAAUUUACUGGGCGUAAAGCGCGUGUAGGUGGUUUGGUAAGUUGGAUGUGAAAGCUCCUGGCUUAACUAGGAGAGGCCGUUCAAAACUGCCAGACUAGAGGGCGGUAGAGGAAGGUGGAAUUCCCGGUGUAGUGGUGAAAUGCGUAGAUAUCGGGAGGAACACCAGUGGCGAAGGCGGCCUUCUGGGCCGUCCCUGACACUGAGACGCGAAAGCUAGGGGAGCAAACGGGAUUAGAUACCCCUGUAGUC